AUUCUCUCGAAUAUACAUUAUAAACCCACCUGUGUAUCUUACCCGUUGCUUCCGCGCGUCAGUGAUCUCGGUCACCUCCGAACGAAAAGGCGCGAGCCAUAUCGGUCGGGGAGCACCCGCGGGAGGUAUACACCAAACCCUUGCAUUUCUAUGUCAUCUGUCUGAACCUGUUUAUAACAAAUGUUAAAACUUUCAACAACGGAUCUCUUGGUUCUCGCAUCGAUGAAGAACGCAGCGAAAUGCGAUAAGUAGUGUGAAUUGCAGAAUUCAGUGAAUCAUCGAAUCUUUGAACGCACAUUGCGCCUCCUGGUAUUCCGGGAGGCAUGCCUGUUCGAGCGUCAUUAAAAACCACUCAAGCUAUUUUGCUUGGUAUUGGGAGAUGGGAGCGUACCACGAUGCACUCCCUCCCGAAAUCCAAUGGCGGAAAGCCCCAUGUGCCCCGGCGUAGUAAGUUUUCUUUCGCUCGGAACGUGAGGUGAUCCUGCCCCGAACCCCCAAUCACUUUUCAGGUUGACCUCGGAUCAGGUAGGGAUACCCGCUGAACUUAAGCAUAUCAAUAAGCGGAGGAAAAGAAACCAACAGGGAUUGCCUUAGUAACUGCGAGUGAAGCGGCAAAAGCUCAAAUUUGAAAUCUGGCGUCUUUCGGCGUCCGAGUUGUAAUUUGGAGGGAUAUCUUCGGUGAUGGCGCCGUCCUAAGUUCCUUGGAACAGGACGUCAUAGAGGGUGAGAAUCCCGUGCCUGGAUGGCGGACCGUCACCAUGUGAAGUGUCUCCGACGAGUCGAGUUGUUUGGGAAUGCAGCUCANAAUGGGUGGUAAAUUUCAUCUAAAGCUAAAUAUUGGCGAGAGACCGAUAGCGCAC
rnacentral:rRNA from 1 species